UACGAAGGGGGCUAGCGUUGUUCGGAAUUACUGGGCGUAAAGCGCACGUAGGCGGAUAUUUAAGUCAGGGGUGAAAUCCCGGGGCUCAACUCCAGAACUGCCUUUGAUACUGGCGAUCUUCGAGUCCGGGAGAGGUGAGUGGAACUGCGAGUGUAGAGGUGAAAUUCGUAGAUAUUCGCAAGAACACCAGUGGCGAAGGCGGCUCACUGGCCCGGUACUGACACUGAGGUGCGAAAAGCGUGGGGGAGCAAACAGGGA
rnacentral:rRNA from 1 species